UUGAUGCUUGAUGAAGAUUUUAGACCGCACUCUUGAAAUAUACUAUCCUUCCCACUCCAAUUUUCUAUCCAAGAAACUAGCAAAGUCAACUACAACUAGGCCAACAAUCCAACUGAAUUAUCAAAUAAACUCAAAUUGGCCAAUUCAAAUAAAAUCCAAAUACAACCAAAUAUAGAUCUAAGGCUCUUAGGGCCUUCCAAGGUUAGGGUUUGGUAAAUUUUAAUAUGCAAAAUGAAUCAUGUUGUGCAAUUAUGGCCAAGCAUGGCCUAAAUAGAAAAUAAAUUUUGAACACAGGUCAAAGGUUUAGAAAACUUGGACAAAGGUUGUCCAAUGGUUGAUAUUUCAACAUUAGAUUUAAUAUGCAAAAAUAAUCAUUUAACUUGAGCUUAUAGAACUCAAAUUAUAGUGAAAACAAGUGUUGAAUUUAAAUUCAUGGUGCUCGAAGUGGAUUAGGGUGUACUCCCCCAUCAGGUUCUCCCUUAGAUUCAAUGUGCAAAAAGAAUAACUCAAAAAGAUGUUGUUGUGUCUUGUGUGCAAACUAUGGCCACAUCAAGAUAUAUAAUUCAAAUUUGAAUAGUUCAAAAGUUUGAAGCAGUGUGUCUGACGGCCCGGGCUUAAACGGAACGGCCCGCGCGAUGGGCUCUGCCCCCUAUGUAGGACAGCUUAGGAUAUCAAUUACAUCUUCUUCUCGUGCGUGUCCGCCCAGUUCCUCUGGAGCUGCCUCCGUGAGGCCAUUGGUGGGCGUUGGUGUAACAGCUACUUCCCGGCAUUAGGUGGCUGGUCAUUGGGGUCCUUGCUUGGACGCUUUGGACGGUUCAGAAUAAGCUUGUGAUUCAACGUGUGCCUCUUCGACGUGCGACUGACGUGGUAUUCAAAAUGUGUGGUUACUUGCAGCUCUGGCGACCGCUUAGCCGCCUUCAGGACCGAGACGCCAUCAACGCCAUUACUGCUGAUCUCAGGACGAUGACCUUCUGCUUGGUACCACCGCUCCCUCCACCACCUCCUGAGCCGGAUUAGACGCUUUGCUUGCGCGUGCGGGUCUACCGCUUAUUUUUUCUCUUUUCAGGACUUGCUGAGUUUGUGCCCUCAGUAGAACCCCAUUGCACUUUAUGUUGUGCUACCUCGUGUGUGUGNNNNNNNNNNNNNNNNNNNNNNNNNNNNNUGGUUGUGGUGGUUUGUUUUAUCUAUAAAACGGGACAAAAGGCUUUUUCGGUAAGCAGUGUGUCAAAAAGUUAAAGCACUCCAAGAUAAACGAUAUGCAGUAAGUUUCACCUUAACUGGAGUUGUAAAUCAGAACUUAUAAGUGUUGUAAGAUCUAGGGGCUUUUAUAAAAAAAUACAGCAGCCGGCAGAUAACAAAUACCAGGCGUGCCCUAAACGGCUGAUCGGCUUUGAAUGUGAGUCGUUGGAUAUAUUGAAAUCGUGCAGCUCAGAUCUGUCCAUACCUUCUAAUUUUGGCCUUUGAUAUGAGAUCCGGCGGUGCAGAUCCUAGGGUUUCUCGAGAGGGGAAUUUCUCGUCGGCACUGGUCGCCAGAAUCCAUGGUGCGCGGUGGCUCUUGCUUCGGCUUGCUCGGGGAGCUCCCUCCCGUGGACGCCUUGCUCCGGCGAGUUGAUGACGAUGGGUGGCGCUUCAUGGCGACUUCAUUUCAUUCCUUGGCGGCAACGUUGGAGUCCGGCUAGACUUGGGUCUUCUCCGGCGACUUCGGGCGAGCUCUAAUAGCUAGCUCGGAUCGAGGUGGACUUCCAGCGGCGACUUGACGAACCGGUCGCGCUUUAAAGGUGGCUCCGUCUUGCAGCAGGAAUAAGAGAGGCGGCGCGGAGAGCUCGACUCGCUCCUGGCAAUGGCGUCGGGGGCGGGCGGGAGUCCGGUGUCCAGGAG
rnacentral:lncRNA from 1 species